rnacentral:rRNA from 1 species
AACGAACGCUGGCGGCAUGCCUAACACAUGCAAGUCGAACGAGACCUUCGGGUCUAGUGGCGCACGUGUGCGUAACGCGUGGGAACCUACCCUUAGGUUCGGAAUAACUCCCCGAAAGGGGUGCUAAUGCCGGUUAGUCUCUUCGGACCAAAGAUCUAUCGCCUUUGGAUGGGCGCGCGUUGGUUUAGCUAGUUGGUAGGGUACAAGCCUACCAAGGCGACGAUCCAUAGCUGGUCUGAGAGGAUGACCAGCCACAAUGGGAAUGAGACACGGCCCAGACUCCGACGGGAGGCAGCAGUGGAGAGUAUUGGACGAUGGGCGCAAGCGUGAUAACGCAAUGCCGCGUGAGAGAUGAAGGGCUUAGGAUUGUAAAGCUCUUUUACACGGGAUGAUAAUGACAGUACCGGGAGAAUAAGCUCCGGCUAACUACGUG